rnacentral:SRP_RNA from 1 species
GCCGGGCGUAGUGGCGUGCGUCUGUAACUUCAGCUACUUGAAGGGCUUGAACUAGAGGAUCGCAGUUAGUGGAGGACAUUACUCUGAUUAUUCAUACGUAGAUCUUGCGUCCCGCCUAAGCUCUCUGUCAAUAUGGGGAUUACUCGAAGGAGUUAUUUCCAGGUUGUUUAAAGAGACGUGAACCGGCCCAGGGCGGCAACGCAGCAGGCAAAAGCUUCCGCAGUGAGUAGUAGAGGGAUAGCGCGAGUGAGUGUGAUAGUUAGAGUUACUUCGUUGAUAUGUGAGACCUAGUUCAUU